AGNAGUUUGACCCUGGCUCAGGAUGAACGCUGGCGGCGUGCUUAAUACAUGCAAGUCGAACGGAGGCUUUGUAGUAAUACGAAGUCCUCAGUGGCGAACGGGCGAGUAACGAGUUGGUGACCUGCCCCGAAGUGUGGGAUAACAGUCCGAAAGGAUUGCUAAUACCGCAUGUGAUCAUUGGAUCUAGAAACCGAUGAUUAAAGCAGUAAUGCGCUUCGGGAGGGACCUGCUUCCCAUCAGCUAGUUGGUGAGGUAAUGGCCCACCAAGGCUACGACGGGUAAGGGACCUGAGAGGGUGGUCCCUCGCAAUGGCACUGAAACACGGGCCAUACACCUACGGGUGGCAGCAGUAGGGAAUAUUGGGCAAUGGGCGAAAGCCUGACCCAGCAACGCCGCGUGCACGAUGAAGGCCUUCGGGUCGUAAAGCUCUGUCAGAGGGAAAGAGAUGUGGGGCGCUAAUACCGUUACCACUUGACGGUACCCUCAAAGGAAGCACCGGCUAACUCCGUGCCAGCAGCCGCGGUAAUACGGAGGGUGCGAGCGUUGUUCCGGAAUUAUUGGGCGUAAAGCGCGUGUAGGCGGUUUUAUAAGUCUGAUGUGAAAGCCCCGGGCUCAACCUGGGAAGUGCAUUGGAUACUGUAAGACUUGAGUACGGGAGAGGGCAGUGGAAUUCCUAGUGUAGGAGUGAAAUCCGUAGAUAUUAGGAGGAACACCGGUGGCGAAGGCGGCUGCCUGGACCGAUACUGACGCUGAGACGCGAAAGCGUGGGUAGCAAACAGGAUUAGAUACCCUGGUAGUCCACGCCGUAAACGAUGAGUACUAGGUGUUGCGGGUAUUGACCCCUGCAGUGCCGCAGCUAACGCAUUAAGUACUCCGCCUGGGAAGUACGGUCGCAAGACUAAAACUCAAAGGAAUUGACGG
rnacentral:rRNA from 1 species